rnacentral:tRNA from 1 species
GCCUCGUUAGCACAGUUGGUAGUGCACCUGAUUUGUAAUCAGGGGGUCGGCGGUUCGAGUCCGUCACGGGGCACCA